rnacentral:rRNA from 1 species
GCUACACAUGCAAGUCGAGCGGAUGAGAGGAGCUUGCUCCUCGAUUCAGCGGCGGACGGGUGAGUAAUGCCUAGGAAUCUGCCUAGUAGUGGGGGACAACGUUUCGAAAGGAACGCUAAUACCGCAUACGUCCUACGGGAGAAAGUGGGGGAUCUUCGGACCUCACGCUAUUAGAUGAGCCUAGGUCGGAUUAGCUAGUUGGUAGGGUAAAGGCCUACCAAGGCGACGAUCCGUAACUGGUCUGAGAGGAUGAUCAGUCACACUGGAACUGAGACACGGUCCAGACUCCUACGGGAGGCAGCAGUGGGGAAUAUUGGACAAUGGGCGAAAGCCUGAUCCAGCCAUGCCGCGUGUGUGAAGAAGGCCCUCGGGUCGUAAAGCACUUUAAGUUGGGAGGAAGGGCUCGUAGCGAAUACCUGUGAGUUUUGACGUUACCAACAGAAUAAGCACCGGCUAACUUCGUGCCAGCAGCCGCGGUAAUACGAAGGGUGCAAGCGUUAAUCGGAAUUACUGGGCGUAAAGCGCGCGUAGGUGGCUUGAUAAGUUGGAUGUGAAAUCCCCGGGCUCAACCUGGGAACUGCAUCCAAAACUGUCUGGCUAGAGUGCGGUAGAGGGUAGUGGAAUUUCCAGUGUAGCGGUGAAAUGCGUAGAUAUUGGAAGGAACACCAGUGGCGAAGGCGACUACCUGGACUGACACUGACACUGAGGUGCGAAAGCGUGGGGAGCAAACAGGAUUAGAUACCCUGGUAGUCCACGCCGUAAACGAUGUCAACUAGCCGUUGGGAUCCUUGAGAUCUUAGUGGCGCAGCUAACGCAUUAAGUUGACCGCCUGGGGAGUACGGCCGCAAGG